rnacentral:rRNA from 1 species
GACGAACGCUGGCGGCAUGCCUAACACAUGCAAGUCUAGGGGUAGCAAUACCACUGGCGCACGGGUGAGUAACACGUAGGUUAUCUGCCCCCAUCACAGACAUAACCCCGGGAAACCGGGGCUAAUAUCUGAUGAGGUCGCGAGAUCAAAGCUUCGGCGGAUGGGGAUGAGCCUGCGGCUGAUUAGCUAGUUGGUGAGGUAAUGGCUCACCAAGGCGACGAUCAGUAGCUGGUCUGAGAGGACGAACAGCCACACUGGAACUGAGACACGGUCCAGACUCCUACGGGAGGCAGCAGUGAGGAAUAUUGGUCAAUGGGAGCAAUCCUGAACCAGCAAUGCCGCGUGUGGGAUGACAGGGCUUCGCCUUGUAAACCCACUGUCGGACGGGACGAAAGGAGGCCUCGGGCCUCUGGGACGGUACCGUCAAAGGAAGGGUCGGCUAACUACGUGCCAGCAGCCGCGGUAAU